CCUACGGGGGGCAGCAGUGAGGAAUAUUGGUCAAUGGGCGGGAGCCUGAACCAGCCAAGUCGCGUGAAGGAAGAAGGUACUUAGUAUUGUAAACUUCUUUUGUCGGGGAACAAAGGCGGAGACGCGUCUCCGGAUGAGUGUACCCGAAGAAAAAGCAUCGGCUAACUCCGUGCCAGCAGCCGCGGUAAUACGGAGGAUGCGAGCGUUAUCCGGAUUUAUUGGGUUUAAAGGGUGCGUAGGCGGAUCGUUAAGUCAGUGGUCAAAUUGAGGGGCUCAACCCCUUCCCGCCAUUGAAACUGGCGCUC
rnacentral:rRNA from 1 species